AUUUGAGAGUUUGAUCCUGGCUCAGGACGAACGCUGGCGGCGUGCCUAAUACAUGCAAGUUGAGCGCUGAAGGUUGGUACUUGUACCGACUGGAUGAGCAGCGAACGGGUGAGUAACGCGUGGGAAUCUGCCUUUGAGCGGGGGACAACAUUUGGAAACGAAUGCUAAUACCGCAUAAAAACUUUAAACACAAGUUUUAAGUUUGAAAGAUGCAAUUGCAUCACUCAAAGAUGAUCCCGCGUUGUAUUAGCUAGUUGGUGAGGUAAAGGCUCACCAAGGCGAUGAUACAUAGCCGACCUGAGAGGGUGAUCGGCCACAUUGGGACUGAGACACGGCCCAAACUCCUACGGGAGGCAGCAGUAGGGAAUCUUCGGCAAUGGACGAAAGUCUGACCGAGCAACGCCGCGUGAGUGAAGAAGGUUUUCGGAUCGUAAAACUCUGUUGGUAGAGAAGAACGUUGGUGAGAGUGGAAAGCUCAUCAAGUGACGGUAACUACCCAGAAAGGGACGGCUAACUACGUGCCAGCAGCCGCGGUAAUACGUAGGUCCCGAGCGUUGUCCGGAUUUAUUGGGCGUAAAGCGAGCGCAGGUGGUUUAUUAAGUCUGGUGUAAAAGGCAGUGGCUCAACCAUUGUAUGCAUUGGAAACUGGUAGACUUGAGUGCAGGAGAGGAGAGUGGAAUUCCAUGUGUAGCGGUGAAAUGCGUAGAUAUAUGGAGGAACACCGGUGGCGAAAGCGGCUCUCUGGCCUGUAACUGACACUGAGGCUCGAAAGCGUGGGGAGCAAACAGGAUUAGAUACCCUGGUAGUCCACGCCGUAAACGAUGAGUGCUAGAUGUAGGGAGCUAUAAGUUCUCUGUAUCGCAGCUAACGCAAUAAGCACUCCGCCUGGGGAGUACGACCGCAAGGUUGAAACUCAAAGGAAUUGACGGGGGCCCGCACAAGCGGUGGAGCAUGUGGUUUAAUUCGAAGCAACGCGAAGAACCUUACCAGGUCUUGACAUACUCGUGCUAUUCCUAGAGAUAGGAAGUUCCUUCGGGACACGGGAUACAGGUGGUGCAUGGUUGUCGUCAGCUCGUGUCGUGAGAUGUUGGUUUAAGUCCCGCAACGAGCGCAACCCCUAUUGUUAGUUGCCAUCAUUAAGUUGGGCACUCUAACGAGACUGCCGGUGAUAAACCGGAGGAAGGUGGGGAUGACGUCAAAUCAUCAUGCCCCUUAUGACCUGGGCUACACACGUGCUACAAUGGAUGGUACAACGAGUCGCGAGACAGUGAUUUUAGCUAAUCUCUUAAAACCAUUCUCAGUUCGGAUUGUAGGCUGCAACUCGCCUACAUGAAGUCGGAAUCGCUAGUAAUCGCGGAUCAGCACGCCGCGGUGAAUACGUUCCCGGGCCUUGUACACACCGCCCGUCACACCACGGGAGUUGGGAGUACCCGAAGUAGGUUGCCUAACCGCAAGGAGGGCGCUUCCUAAGGUAAGACCGAUGACUGGGGUGAAGUCGUAACAAGGUGCCGUAGAAGGUGCGGCUGGAUCACCUCCUUU
rnacentral:rRNA from 1 species